rnacentral:rRNA from 1 species
CAUUACUGAAGUGGCUCAAAGAUGUUGCUGGCCUUCUCUCUUAGGCAAUGUGCACUCUUUGAACUCAUCCCAUCCACACCCCUUUGUGCACUUCUUGUAGGGCCUCCUCCUCCUCCCGCCAGGGGGGAGGGUUAGUUGUCCCUAUGUCUUGCUUCAUGUCACACACGCUCUUGAAUGUGCAUGUAUGGUUUUUAUAUAAAAAAAGAGAAAACAACCUUCGACAAUGGAUCUCUUGGCUCUCGCAUCGAUGAAGAACGCAGCGAAAUGCGAUACGUAAUGUGAAUUGCAGAAUUCCGUGAAUCAUCGAAUCUUUGAACGCACCUUGCGCCUCUUGGUAUUCCGAGGGGCAUGCCUGUUUGAGUGUCAUUGAAACAUCAAAGAGAAGCUUUCUUUGUCUGGGCUUCUUUUUGGAUAUUGGAGUGUUGCUGGGCUUCCUUUUUAAGGAUGGGUCAGCUCCUCUUAAAUGGAUUAGCGAAGAGAUUGAUCUCUCCAUGCUUUGCUUCUGGCAUUGAUAAUGAUCAUUUUCAUGUCUGAGCUUAGGCAAUGUUUUUUUUUGAGAGUUUUGAUCUCCUAGCUUCAAAAUUGUCUGCCUUGGAGACGAGAUGCUUUUUGACAACUUNNCCUCAAAUCAGGUAGGACUACCC